GUCGAGCGGACAGAAGGGAGCUUGCUCCCGGAUGUUAGCGGCGGACGGGUGAGUAACACGUGGGUAACCUGCCUGUAAGACUGGGAUAACUCCGGGAAACCGGAGCUAAUACCGGAUAGUUCCUUGAACCGCAUGGUUCAAGGAUGAAAGACGGUUUCGGCUGUCACUUACAGAUGGACCCGCGGCGCAUUAGCUAGUUGGUGGGGUAAUGGCUCACCAAGGCGACGAUGCGUAGCCGACCUGAGAGGGUGAUCGGCCACACUGGGACUGAGACACGGCCCAGACUCCUACGGGAGGCAGCAGUAGGGAAUCUUCCGCAAUGGACGAAAGUCUGACGGAGCAACGCCGCGUGAGUGAUGAAGGUUUUCGGAUCGUAAAGCUCUGUUGUUAGGGAAGAACAAGUGCGAGAGUAACUGCUCGCACCUUGACGGUACCUAACCAGAAAGCCACGGCUAACUACGUGCCAGCAGCCGCGGUAAUACGUAGGUGGCAAGCGUUGUCCGGAAUUAUUGGGCGUAAAGGGCUCGCAGGCGGUUUCUUAAGUCUGAUGUGAAAGCCCCCGGCUCAACCGGGGAGGGUCAUUGGAAACUGGGAAACU
rnacentral:rRNA from 1 species